GGGGAGUCUGCUUUCAAGGAGAUGGAAACUCUCUUGGGGAGACAGAAGCAAGCCAACAUCAACCGUGCAGGAGGCUGCUGGAGAAGAUGAAUCACGGUGAACUUCAUUGAAGAUGUGACCCUUUAGGAAGGGAAAGGAGAGAUCUUUUAUGCUGAAAGACACCAAAGGCAGAUGACUGACAGGUGCUGCAUGUUGGGACUCCAGGAGAUGUUCUGGAUGAGGAAGACCAGAGAAGGGGUUCUGAGAAUGGUAGGAUUGGUUUGUAGUCAGAGUUCCGCCAGAGACCAUCCAGACCGUCCAGACCGUCCAGACCAUCCAGACCAUCCAGACCGUCCAGACCAUCCAGACCAUCCAGACCAUCCAGCCAAAGGACCUGCUCCACAUGAGGGUUUGAUACACGCAUCUUCUACGAAAGCAAAGGAGAUGGUUGUUACAAUACACUCACUCCUGUUAUUUAGUUCUGAACAUCCAAAAUCCUUCUACAUUUUGGUGAAGAUUUUAAUUCCCAUUUGAUAGUGUAAUGUAUAUUCUGCAUAAUGAUCUUUGCCUUUAAUGACCAUGGAGGAGAUGAUAGUUUUCAGCCAAUAUACUUACUCU
rnacentral:lncRNA from 1 species